AAAAAAUCUCACUCUCUGAAUCAAGAACUGUCUAAGAGGGCCACUACUCACAACAGAAAGAGGGAAAAAAAUGGCUUUGCCAAACCAGCAGACCGUCGAUUAUCCAAGCUUCAAGCUUGUAAUUGUUGGCGAUGGUGGAACGGGAAAAACAACAUUUGUGAAAAGACAUCUUACUGAGGAGUUUGAGAAGAAAUACGAACGUAAGUCUAAUUUCAUCUUUUGGGCUCUUUCCUUGGUGGUAAGGAAGGAUUAAAACCUUGUUCGGUGAUGUGGUACAAGCUUGACAUAGCAGGGUUUGUGGGUCUUGGGUUCGAGGAGAAGAGGAGUAGAACCAUGUCCUACGGAGACUGCUCUGAAGCCGCU